rnacentral:rRNA from 1 species
GAUCAACGCUGGCGGCGUGCCUCAGACAUGCAAGUCGAACGAUUAAGACUUCCUUCGGGAAGUGCAUAAAGUGGCGCACGGGUGAGUAACACGUAAGUAAUCUACCCUCGAGUGGGGAAUAACGUUCGGAAACGGACGCUAAUACCGCAUAACGCAGCGGCAUCGCAAGAUGACAGUUGUUAAAGGAGUAAUUCGCUUGAGGAGGAGCUUGCGGCAGAUUAGCUAGUUGGUAAGGUAACGGCUUACCAAGGCUACGAUCUGUAUCCGGUCUAAGAGGACGGUCGGACACACUGACACUGAAUAACGGGUCAGACUCCUACGGGAGGCAGCAGUCGGGAAUUUUGGGCAAUGGGCGAAAGCCUGACCCAGCAACGCCGCGUGAAGGAUGAAGUAUUUCGGUAUGUAAACUUCGAAAGAAUGGGAAGAAUAAAUGACGGUACCAUUUAUAAGCUCCGGCUAACUACGUGCCAGCAGCCGCCGUAACAC